rnacentral:rRNA from 1 species
UACGGAGGGUGCGAGCGUUGUCCGGAAUCAUUGGGCGUAAAGAGCGCGUAGGCGGUCCGGUAAGUCCGCUCUGAAAGUCCGGGGCUCAACCCCGGGAGGCGGGCGGAUACUGUCGGGCUAGAGUCCGGAAGAGGCGAGUGGAAUUCCUGGUGUAGCGGUGAAAUGCGCAGAUAUCAGGAGGAACACCAAUGGCGAAGGCAGCUCGCUGGGACGUGACUGACGCUGAGACGCGAAAGCGUGGGGAGCAAACAGG